rnacentral:rRNA from 1 species
CGUAGGGUGGCGAGCGUUAAUCGGAAUUACUGGGCGUAAAGCGUGCGCAGGCGGUUUUUUAAGACAGGCGUGAAAUCCCCGGGCUCAACCUGGGAACUGCGCUUGUGACUGGAAGGCUAGAGUACGGCAGAGGGGGGUGGAAUUCCACGUGUAGCAGUGAAAUGCGUAGAGAUGUGGAGGAACACCAAUGGCGAAGGCAGCCCCCUGGGUCGAUACUGACGCUCAUGCACGAAAGCGUGGGUAGCAAACAGGAUUAGAUACCCUGGUAGUCCACGCCCUAAACGAUGUCAACUAGGUGUUGGGUGGGUAAAACCAUUUAGUACCGGAGCUAACGCGUGAAGUUGACCGCCUGGGGAGUACGGCCGCAAGGUU